rnacentral:rRNA from 1 species
GACGUAGGGAGCAAGCGUUGCCCGGAAUUACUGGGCGUAAAGAGCUCGUAGGCGGGGGCGUGCGUCCGAAAGGAAAUCUCAGGGCUCAACCCUGGGGCUUUUUCGGAUACGGCGCUUCUUGAGGGUGAGAGAGGAAAGCGGAAUUCCAGGUGUAGCGGUGAAAUGCGUAGAUAUCUGGAGGAACACCAGCGGCGAAGGCGGCUUUCUGGCUCAUUCCUGACGCUGAGGAGCGAAAGCGUGGGUAGCGAACGGGAUUAGAAACCCCCGUAGUCC